rnacentral:misc_RNA from 1 species
ACAUAAUGUAACUUUAUAUAUACGCGACCGUAUUUGUGGAAAGAGAAAUCCAACAUGCCGACCGUCUGCGAGGAAUCGGGGGCUUCGUCCUCUGGAUACGAUUCUACGCUCGAUCUGAAAACCAAACUUUUAUCCCAGGAAUAUACUCACGAGAAAUGCUCGUGUCACGAGUUCACUCCCAGUGGCAGGUUGUUCGGGAGAACACGUUCAUUAGACCCCGAUCUUUUAAACAGAUGUGCCGAGUGUCAGAAAGAAAAGACUAGAGCAAAGCUCGUUCGUUAUGAGAAAAUUCCGGAAGAUGUGGAUGGGGGCCGUGUUCAGGUUGGUGGGGAUCGUCUGGGAGGAACGAGGGUGGUGGAUAACCGAAUGGGAGGGACCAUGCUGGUCAGUGACCCAGAUAUAGAGGUGAAACAGAAUCUUCUAAACACGGACAGUGAACAAGAUGAUAACAUUAUAAAUAAC